GACAUCUGGGUGGAAGUCACCAGUGCCUGCACAUGGAACUAUGAAGAUCACCAUUUUUCAGAUUAAGAAACUGAGGCUCACAUUGUGAAAUAGCACUCUCUGGAAAGCUGACUCAGAAAUUGGAAUGAGUUGUCUGUGGAUCCUGUAAGGAGCCUGGACGUGGUGAAGAGAAUGCCUUGACCAUCAGGAGACGGCUUAGCUUGUUGAAUCUUGAUCACUUCUUCUGACCGCUUUGGAUCUUAAAAGAACAAGGUCGAGGAGUUUCAUAGACAUAACUCUUUGGGAGCAGUGCCCAGGUCAAUGUGGCCAAUGCCCCAGGAUCUUAUUUGGUCAUCCAGGCUGGACUGCAGUGGUGUGAUCAUAGCUCACUGCAGCCUCAAACUGCUGGACUCCAGUGAUCUUCCAGCCUCAGCCUCCCCCAGUAGCAAGGACUACAGGGUCCCAGAAGGAACCAACGCUGCCCACACCUUAAUUUGAGACUUCUGGCCUCUGAGAAAUGAGAAAGAGUCUCUCUCUCUGUCGCCCAGCCUGGAGUGCAGUGGCACCAUCUGAGCUCACUACAACCUCCGCCUCCCGGGUUCAAGCGAUUCUCCUGCCUCAGCCUCCUGAGUAGCUGGGAUUACAGGCAUGCGCCACCACACCCAGCUAAUUUUCGUAUUUUUAGUAGAGAUGAGGUUUCACCAUGUUGGCCAGGCUGCUCUUGAACUGCUGACCUCAAGUGAUCCACCAGCAUUGGCCUCUCAAAGUACUAGGAUUACAGUGCUAGGAGCCACCAUGCCCGGCCGCCUCUCUUUUCUUUUACACAUGAAGAAAAAGUGGUCAGAGAAGUUAACUUGGUCAGUGCCAAAAACACUGGAAGUGAGUAGGACCAAGCUUUUCAUCUAGAUUUGUUAGACUCUAAAUCCAAAUUCACAACAAGCUCAGAAUAUGAGAAACCUAAGGAACAAAAUUCUAGGAAUCAUUUAAAAUUCUAGGAAUCAUUUCUAGAAACUGUGACUAUUGAAAAAGCACAGACCUAGGGAAUCAAAUUAUUUUCCCUGCCACCAGCACAUGGGUAGGCCUGCGACAAAUUCCAUGCUCUGGACCCCAGAUUCCUCAGUGAGAAUAGAAGGGGCUAGAGACAUCAGGACAUUGGAUUUGGUGACUUUAAUACCCACUCAGCUCCAAAGCAUUCUUGAAUGAUGCAUGAUUUAUGAAUAUAUAUAUUGAAAUUUACUGAUGGGUGAACAGCUCUCAACAUGAGAUUUUUGUUGUAUGCCUUAAAAAAGAUUAUACAGAAAUAUGUGUGUGUGUGUAUGUUUCGAUGUCUAUGAACCCAUGAUCUGAAAAAUGGCCACUGUGGCUUGUGGAAACCUAUUGAUGUCUGCUAUUCCACCCAAUAUCCUCAGAAAAAAAUAAACAACUUUUUGAAAGUGCUGCCGUGGGGUCAGACCAAAUACUGUGGCCACUUCCAAGGGGUUUGCCUUGA
rnacentral:antisense_RNA from 1 species